UUUACUUUGACUUGGUUUUCAUAUUUUAAGUUAAUGUCCAUUUAUAUUUAUAAUUUAGCAUCUUUUCUUUAAUGGUGAUCAUUUUAGUGAUUGUAAAAUGUUACGAUGAAAAUUGUGCAAAAAAAAAUGGUCGUUUAGCAAUUUAAUUGAUCCAUAGAAUCAAUUGAUGAUAAUUUGUUCGCUUUCUUGUUCUUAUAUUAUUUGUUUAUUGUUUGUUAAAAAAAGAUGGAGAAUUUGAUUGAUGAAAAAUUUGAUUGUUAAUUUAAAUUGUUUGGUUCUGUUAGUGUGAAAGACAUGGGUAGUGAGAUGUAACGGAUUGUAAUUAACAUCUCACUACUUUGUCUUUGGCGCUAAUUCAAACAUUAAUCAACAACAAUCAUUGUGAAUGUAAAUAUUAAUUGAAACAAUAUCAACAAUCUUACAAUAUAAAAAUCAUCUUCUCUCCACCUUUACCAUCAUCAUCAUCAUCAUCAUCAUCCACAUCCACAUCCUCUUCAUCCUCAUCAUCUUCAUCUUCAUCAUAAAAUCUAUCAUCGUAAUAAUCACGUUGUGCUUUUCUCUUAUUUUCUUAAACCAGUAAAUCUAAUGUAAUAUAAUUUUGUGAAUGAACAACAGAUCAUGGAUUGUGAAAUGAUGUGAAUUAAUCAAUUGAAGAAGUGAAUUGAAUUAAUUAAUAGCAUUCCUCCGAGUCAUCAAAGAGGUUGUGAAAUGUUUAUUGAAAGUAAAUCCAUAUCACAGCCAGCUUUGAUGAUUUUGAUAAAAUGCAAUCCACUUUUAUUGUGCUCAUUUACCAUUGGAUUAUUUCUUGUUUACCAAAAAACAUUCUUUUAAUUGUAAUCGUAAACAAUUAUAAAAGUAAAUUCUUCAUUUCUUCUCAUCUCUCUCUCUACCCUUUUUCUUGAGAUGCGAAAGGCGCGAAGCACAGAGAGUGAGCUUAGUAUUAACUUUUUCUUCUGUCAAAUUCUGUCUUUUAUUUCUGAAUUUUCAUCAGACAAACAAUCGACUCUCAUGUUCCAUGAUUUUGUAUCCAUUGAAAAGGAGGGAAAAUUAUUCAAUUUCUCAAUUAAAUCAACCAACAAACUAAUGUUAUUCAAUCUAAUCUUUUAUUUUGGAGGCAAAACCUGAAACCUGAAGCUUUGAUGAUACAUGGGAAUACCAAACUAAUUGUCCAAGGAAGGAAAAGAAAUGAAACAACAAAAAAACUAAAUCAAAUUAAAAGAGCAAUUAAAAAAUA